rnacentral:rRNA from 1 species
GAUGAACGCUGGCGGCGUGCUUAACACAUGCAAGUCGAACGGUGCAUGCGGAGCUUGCUCUGCUGGAUCAGUGGCGACCGGGUGAGUUACACGUGAGCACUCUGCACCUGAUACUGGUAUCUGCGCUGGCAACGGCGUCUACUCCUGGAUACGAGCUGCGACGGCAUCUUCAGCAGCCGGAAAGAACCGCGGUCAGGGAUGAGCUCGCGGCCUAUCAGCUUGUUGGGGAGGUAACGGCCCACCACGGCGUCGACGGGUAGCCGGCCUGAGAGGGGGAGCGGCCAAACUGGGACUGAGACACGGCCCAGACUACUACGGGAGGCAGCAGAGGGGAAGAGUACACAAUGGGCUAGAGCCUGAUGCAGCAACGCCGCGUGGGGGAAGUCGGGCUGCGGGUUGUAAUCCUCUGUUAGCAGGGAAGAAGCGAAAGUGACGGUACCUGCAGAAAAAGCGCCGGCUAACUACGUG